GGUUGUGGCGCAGUAGUAGAGUGCUUGCCUAGCAUGCCCGAGGCACUGGGUUCGAUCCUCAGCACCA
rnacentral:tRNA from 1 species